UACGGAGGGGGCUAGCGUUGUUCGGAAUUACUGGGCGUAAAGCGCACGUAGGCGGCUUUGCAAGUCAGAGGUGAAAGCCCGGGGCUCAACCCCGGAAUUGCCUUUGAGACUGCAUCGCUAGAAUUGUGGAGAGGUAAGUGGAAUUCCGAGUGUAGAGGUGAAAUUCGUAGAUAUUCGGAAGAACACCAGUGGCGAAGGCGACUUACUGGUCCAUGACUGACGCUGAGGCUCGAAAGCGUGGGGAGCAAACAGG
rnacentral:rRNA from 1 species